rnacentral:rRNA from 1 species
CCUACGGGAGGCAGCAGUGAGGAAUAUUGGUCAAUGGACGAGAGUCUGAACCAGCCAAGUAGCGUGAAGGAUGACUGCCCUAUGGGUUGUAAACUUCUUUUAUAUGGGAAUAAAACGUUCCACGUGUGGGAUUUUGUAUGUACCAUAUGAAUAAGGAUCGGCUAACUCCGUGCCAGCAGCCGCGGUAAUACGGAGGAUCCGAGCGUUAUCCGGAUUUAUUGGGUUUAAAGGGAGCGUAGGUGGAUUGUUAAGUCAGUUGUGAAAGUUUGCGGCUCAACCGUAAAAUUGCAGUUGAAACUGGCAGUCUUGAGUACAGUAGAGGUGGGCGGAAUUCGUGGUGUAGCGGUGAAAUGCUUAGAUAUCACGAAGAACUCCGAUUGCGAAGGCAGUUCACUGGACUGCAACUGACACUGAGGCUCGAAAGUGUGGGUAUCAAACAGGAUUAGAUCCCCAGUAGUU